rnacentral:rRNA from 2 species
UAGGGAAUCUUCGGCAAUGGACGAAAGUCUGACCGAGCAACGCCGCGUGAGUGAAGAAGGUUUUCGGAUCGUAAAGCUCUGUUGUUAGAGAAGAACAAGGACGUUAGUAACUGAACGUCCCCUGACGGUAUCUAACCAGAAAGCCACGGCUAACUACGUGCCAGCAGCCGCGGUAAUACGUAGGUGGCAAGCGUUGUCCGGAUUUAUUGGGCGUAAAGCGAGCGCAGGCGGUUUCUUAAGUCUGAUGUGAAAGCCCCCGGCUCAACCGGGGAGGGUCAUUGGAAACUGGGAGACUUGAGUGCAGAAGAGGAGAGUGGAAUUCCAUGUGUAGCGGUGAAAUGCGUAGAUAUAUGGAGGAACACCAGUGGCGAAGGCGGCUCUCUGGUCUGUAACUGACGCUGAGGCUCGAAAGCGUGGGGAGCAAACAGG